rnacentral:rRNA from 1 species
UUAGUUGGUGGAGUGAUUUGUCUGGUUAAUUCCGAUAACGAACGAGACCUCAGCCUGCUAAAUAGUCAAGUUAAUCUUAGGAUUAAUAUAAUCAUGACUUCUUAGAGGGACUGUCGGUUUCUAGCCGACUGAAGUGUGAGGCAAUAACAGGU